ACCUAACGCCAUCUACUUCAGAGUCCCACUACUCCAACAGUGCGCGGCAUGUCAGCUCUCUUAGGUUCUCGUCAUAACUCAUUGGCAUGCCUUACGCAGACGGAAAUGAGAUGAGGAACAAUACGACUUACAUUUACCAUGGCCAAAGAGGGGCAAGAAAAGACAUUGCAGUUUCCUCACGAUCAAAUUUUAAAAAAGGAAAACAAAAAAGAGGAAGAAAAAAAAAAAACCCAAAACAGAAGAAAUAUCUUCGUCCAAGUUCUGGGAAUCCUGCUGAUUUAAAAGUGGCAAUAGAAGUCUAUAGUUGGGAGUAAUAAAUACAAAAUCCUGG
rnacentral:lncRNA from 1 species